rnacentral:lncRNA from 1 species
GAUGGUAGUGAGAUUUGGUAUUGAAUCUAUUGAUGGCAUUGAUGAAGAGGAACUGAGGAAGCCAUGCUGGAAAUGUUUGAUUGUUUGCAGUAAUGCACUUUGAUGAAAUAUUGAUCAUUCAUGAACUUUUUCAAUUUUAGUUGGUUUGUUUCAGUUUGUUUCAAUUUUAGUUGGUUUGUUUCUGUUUGUUUCAAUUUUAGUUGGUUUGUUGCAUUUUAGUUGGUUUGUUUCAGUAUUUUAGUUUGCUGCAAAUUGAUGCAGUUUCAAUAUUUUGUGUGUUUGAUGGUUUAAUAAUGCUUUCAUCAGUUUCAUGCUUUGAGAGUUUGGGAGUUGGCUAGAAAUUUCUAAUUUGUUAUGUUGAUGUUGAUUGUUGAGUUUUAUGAGUGAUGGUAUUUGCAAUAUUGAAUCAUUUGAAUGUAUAUAUGG